rnacentral:rRNA from 1 species
GACGAUGAAGCCGCUUCGGUGGUGGAUUAGUGGCGAACGGGUGAGUAACACGUGGGCAAUCUGCCCUGCACUCUGGGACAAGCCCUGGAAACGGGGUCUAAUACCGGAUAUGACUACCGAUCGCAUGGUUGGUGGUGGAAAGCUCCGGCGGUGCAGGAUGAGCCCGCGGCCUAUCAGCUUGUUGGUGGGGUGAUGGCCUACCAAGGCGACGACGGGUAGCCGGCCUGAGAGGGCGACCGGCCACACUGGGACUGAGACACGGCCCAGACUCCUACGGGAGGCAGCAGUGGGGAAUAUUGCACAAUGGGCGAAAGCCUGAUGCAGCGACGCCGCGUGAGGGAUGACGGCCUUCGGGUUGUAAACCUCUUUCAGCAGGGAAGAAGCGAGAGUGACGGUACCUGCAGAAGAAGCGCCGGCUAACUACGUGCCAGCAGCCGCGGUAAUACGUAGGGCGCGAGCGUUGUCCGGAAUUAUUGGGCGUAAAGAGCUCGUAGGCGGCUUGUCACGUCGGAUGUGAAAGCCCGGGGCUUAACCCCGGGUCUGCAUUCGAUACGGGCAGGCUAGAGUUCGGUAGGGGAGAUCGGAAUUCCUGGUGUAGCGGUGAAAUGCGCAGAUAUCAGGAGGAACACCGGUGGCGAAGGCGGAUCUCUGGGCCGAUACUGACGCUGAGGAGCGAAAGCGUGGGGAGC